rnacentral:rRNA from 1 species
CCUACGGGUGGCAGCAGUGGGGAAUAUUGCACAAUGGGGGAAACCCUGAUGCAGCGACGCCGCGUGAGUGAAGAAGUAUUUCGGUAUGUAAAGCUCUAUCAGCAGGGAAGAAAAUGACGGUACCUGAUUAAUAAUCCCCGGCAAACUACGUGCCAGCAGCCGCGGUAAUACGGAGGGGGCUAGCGUUGUCCGGAAUUACUGGGCGUAAAGGGAGUGUAGACGGCUUGUCAAGUUAAGUGUGAAAGCCUGCGGCUUAACCGCAGAAUUGCACUUAAAACUGACUCGCUAGAGUGCAGGAGAGGUGAGUGGAAUUCCUAGUGUAGCGGUGGAAUGCGUAGAUAUUAGGAGGAACACCAGAGGCGAAGGCGGCUCACUGGACUGUAACUGACGUUGAGGCUCGAAAGCGUGGGGAGCAAACAGGAUUAGAUACCCGGGUAGUC